rnacentral:rRNA from 1 species
GUAGGUGGCAAGCGUUGUCCGGAAUUAUUGGGCGUAAAGCGCGCGCAGGCGGUCCUUUAAGUCUGAUGUGAAAGCCCACGGCUCAACCGUGGAGGGUCAUUGGAAACUGGGGGACUUGAGUACAGAAGAGGAAAGCGGAAUUCCAAGUGUAGCGGUGAAAUGCGUAGAGAUUUGGAGGAACACCAGUGGCGAAGGCGGCUUUCUGGUCUGUAACUGACGCUGAGGCGCGAAAGCGUGGGGAGCAAACAGGGAUUAGAUACCCUGGUAGUCCACGCCGUAAACGAUGAGUGCUAAGUGUUAGGGGGUUUCCCGCCCCCUUAGUGCUGCAGCUAACGCAUUAAGCACUCCGCCUGGGGGGUACGGCCGCAAGGCUG